GUUACCGCCUCCGAUACCAGGUACGGGAGGGAGGUGCUUUGCAUGGAGUUUGCUUUAUCUUUUAUUAUUGCCGUUACGGCUGGCGUAGUUUGCCACUAUGUCAUCAAAUGGUUAGACGGCGAUAAAUAGUCGGUAACUAGCCUAUGGUCUAAGCCGCCAUUGAAAAGGAAUAGAAAAUCCUCCGGAUAGCCGUCCGGGGGAUUUUCGUCUGUCACU
rnacentral:sRNA from 1 species